UUCCUUCGGGAAGCGAGUAGAGCGGCGCACGGGUGAGUAACACGUAGGUAACCUGCCCCCGAGUCUGGGAUAACUUGUCGAAAGAUAAGCUAAUACCGGAUAACACCCCUUCGACGACAGUCGGAGGCGUAAAAGAUGGCCUCUACUUGUAAGCUAUCGCUUGGAGAUGGGCCUGCGUGCCAUUAGCUAGUUGGCGGGGUAAUGGCCCACCAAGGCGGAGAUGGCUAGCUGGUCUGAGAGGAUGAUCAGCCACACUGGGACUGAGACACGGCCCAGACUCCUACGGGAGGCAGCAGUGGGGAAUAUUGCGCAAUGGGCGAAAGCCUGACGCAGCGACGCCGCGUGGGUGAUGAAGGCCUUCGGGUCGUAAAGCCCUGUCGGAAGGGACGAAACAUCGGUGGGUAAAUAAUCCAUCGACUUGACGGUACCUUCUAAGGAAGCACCGGCUAACUCCGUGCCAGCAGCCGCGGUAAUACGGAGGGUGCAAGCGUUGUUCGGAAUUACUGGGCGUAAAGCGCGUGUAGGCGGCCACCUAAGUCUGAUGUGAAAGCCCGAGGCUUACCCUCGGAAGCGCAUUGGAAACUGGGUGGCUGGAGUACUGGAGAGGAGGGUGGAAUUCCUGGUGUAGCGGUGAAAUGCGUAGAUAUCAGGAAGAACACCGGUGGCGAAGGCGGCCCUCUGGACAGAUACUGA
rnacentral:rRNA from 1 species